AAGUUUUCUAGGUGGGCUUAAACAAGAAUGUUAAAAAGUAGGGUCAAAAGAAUGAUGGGCUUCGUACCAAUAUUAAAAGAAUGACGUAUUCGGUCCCUAUCUCUUCAGACACAGCUCUGAAACACGGGGUGACUCUUUGUGUUUCCAUCAAAAAGUUAACCCCUACGAAAUCCUCUUAUAUAAAGUUUUAUCUUAACCGGAGAAACAUUCCAUCUCAAAUACUCAACGAUUCCUCUACCAGGCGCAGCUUAUAACAUCUAUCGAAAAUGUCGUUUGCAACUCACCUUUCGACUCUCUCCGUCUUGGUCGUACAAAAAAUUAUGAAUUCAUGGGAAUUAUGUUUCUCUUCCUUAAUGAAAAGGCAAAGCCAUCUCUGAUCUAUCAUGACUUAUCUAUUACAACUGUCUUUAAUCGAUAAGAUUGUUAGGAUUGAAUUAUCAGAUCUGUCUCAAUCUGCAGGAUUGAACUGUCGCCCAUCCGUUUCCUUAAAAAGAGAUAGAUAUAUACUGUUUUGGAAAGGAAAGAGAUGGGUUCUAUAAUUAUUAUGUAUUAUUAUGUCUAUAUCUCUGAUGUCUUUGGUUGAUUAAAAGCUUGAGUCUUUUCCAUUUUUUGUAACUAAAAUAUCUGUCAUUAAACCUGGAUUAUAUCGUCCCAUGCUAACUUUACAAUUUUGGCAGGUGAUGGAGGUGAGAUACAAUCAGCUUAUCUGAGUGGACAGGGCAGCGCACUGUUCCAAAUGUGUUCAUCAAAGGAAAACAUAUCGGUGGAUGUGAUAGAGUGUUGGAGAGUUGAAGGAAAGUGAGCAUGUGUUAGCAUAACUUUUAAAUGUCUAUCUCUAAGAGCAUCUCCAUCUUUACUCUAUAAUUUACUGAAAAAUGGAGUAGGAAACGGAGUAGUGAAAAACAGAAAAGUGAUUAAUACAUAAAUGGAAAAAUUUUUUAUUUUUUGUUCAUACUCCAUGUUCUAUUCCAGUUUUGAAGUAAAUUAUGAAGUGGAAAUGGAGAUGCCCCGAGUUAUUAGAGAUUUGAUGUUGAAAAUCUGAGUAAAAGAGAAAUGACAUUUUGAUCAAAUAAAAGGAGAGAGAAAUGACAUUUAAUGAA